ACGCACCGGAUCCAAAGUUUGCGUCUUUGGAUGCGGUUCGAGGAGAAACGAGAGCUAAAGGCGUGAAUGGUGGUAGAGAAUUUGAGAGAAGCCGCUAAGGAAGAAGAAGCAGAGGUGGCGAAUCCGAGAGAGUUGAGAAAGGGUUUAGGUGAGUUGCUGUUGUUGUUAUUGCAGAAGAGAUUGAUGGAAGAAGAGGAAGGAUGGAGAUUAAACGUACACAGCGACAUGCCGGAAAGUUUGCGAAAGAGAAGAAGAGAGACGGAGACAGUCAAAGGUGUAAGCUUUCGAGAGUUUUAGACAGCAGCUUCGCUCAACAAGGGUUUGGUUUUAAACAGUUUCUUCUGGUUUUUUUUGUUUGUUUAUUUACUUUUUGUAUGAAUCAGUUAAUUAAGGAGAAUAAAUGAAAAAAUAUAGAAUUGUCAUAUGAUUUUUUUUUUUAAUUGAAACUUCAACCUCUUUAAAAUCUUCAGAAAUAAAACAUCCAUUUCGCAAUAGAAAGGGUUAUGUCAGUAUAUAUAAAAACUGGUUGUGAAACAAACAAGUGGUCUUAUAAGCCAGCAGCGACCUCAAGUACUGUUUGUAUUCAUGUAUCAUCGUGUCCCGAUAACCAAACAACUCACUGAUAACAAAAGCCAAAGAGGGGCGUAUAAUGCCUCCUUCUGGCUGCUCCAAAUACCCGAUUUCUAAAGAGUUUAUACAUAAGCAAGAAAAAGAAAAGAAACAGAUGAGCGCUUAGGCAUCCAACGCCAUGAAGAAGUUCUGCUUACGGGCAUGUUCUGGUACAAGCCGGUUCACGAUUUCAGAAGGGAUGCCAGAUAGCUCUGCAGGUGCAAAAUAUGGUUUAACGUUUGCAUUCAGUUCAGGUGCAAACACACAACAUGCCAACAACUUUAAUAGAUCAUAAACGUUAGAUCUCAUGAGAGUUGAUUUACUAGCCUACAGUAAGCUUGUUUUUCAUGGAAAGGUCCAACAAGAAACAACAAGGGAACAGUACCUUGAGGUUUGAAGUUGAAAAGCGGAGGAAGUGGCCGGCCAUUGGGAAGACGAGUGUUCGGGUCCCUUAGCUCAUCAAAUAACGGAUGAAUACACGCUUCCAACUACCAAAAAUAACACCAAAUUUUUUUAACGUGCUUAGAAUCUUAGAUCCUGAGUCAACAGGAAAGUGUUUAUCGCAUAACGGAGGGCAAAAAAUCAUGGAGCACUUACAGCUGUGCAUCUCAAAUUAGGGGAAUACUGGAAGAACCUACAUAGAAGAUCCACCGCUUCUGGUGGUAAACGUUUUUGGAAGACCUGAUGAUAAAGCACAAAAAAUUAUCAAACCACUAAACCGACAUUCUGUUUUUGGCAGAAAGAGAUGACAGCUGAGCUGUCUGAUACGUCAAGGUCAGGCACGCAAGUAGCAUCUCCGGAGCUCGUGAUACCGGGGUUUCCAGGUGCGCAUAACACAGAGCCGCAGGAAGGAGAGCGUUUUAAGGCGUGGCAAAGGGCGUGUUCUCUCCCUCCUCCGCCGAUUACAAGAACAACAAUGCUCUCUUCUGCACAAUAUAAUACGAUUCUAUCUCAAAACCUAUCGGUGUUCAAGUUAUAAUCUCUCUACCAUCACAAUCAACAACUGAAGAAAAAGCUACCAAAUUUGCUUUGUAAAAUCUAAAAGGCUCAGAGAAAAUGUAUAUCUACUGAAUAUUUAUCAAUCGAGCUGAAAGGGUAACUCCGGAGUUUACCAGCGCCGCCGGGAACAGCCGAAGUAGAUGAAUCGGACUCCGUGGAGACGCACCGGAUCCAAAGUUUGCGUCUUUGGAUGCGGUUCGAGGAGAAACGAGAGCUAAAGGCGUGAAUGGUGGUAGAGAAUUUGAGAGAAGCCGCUAAGGAAGAAGAAGCAGAGGUGGCGAAUCCGAGAGAGUUGAGAAAGGGUUUAGGUGAGUUGCUGUUGUUGUUAUUGCAGAAGAGAUUGAUGGAAGAAGAGGAAGGAUGGAGAUUAAACGUACACAGCGACAUGCCGGAAAGUUUGCGAAAGAGAAGAAGAGAGACGGAGACAGUCAAAGGUGUAAGCUUUCGAGAGUUU
rnacentral:lncRNA from 1 species